ACAGCGGAGAGUUUGAUCCUGGCUCAGGAUGAACGCUAGCGGCAGGCUUAACACAUGCAAGUCGAGCGGCA
rnacentral:rRNA from 1 species